GACGAACGCUGGCGGCGUGGAUUAGGCAUGCAAGUCGGACGGUAGGGCUUUAUCGUAAGAUAGAGUUUGAGAGUGGCGAACGGGUGAGUAACACGUAGGAAUCUACCCUUAAGACGGGGACAACCCAGGGAAACUUGGGCUAAUACCGGAUGAGAGUGCGAGAGAUUGCAUUUAAAAGGAUGGCGAAAGUUGUCGCUUAGGGAUGAGCCUGCGGUCUAUUAGUUAGUUGGUGAGGUAAGAGCUCACCAAGGCGAUGAUAGAUAGGCGGCCUUAACGGGUGGUCGCCCACACUGGGAUUGAGAUACGGCCCAGACUCCUACGGGAGGCAGCAGUCGAGAAUAGUCUACAAUGGCCGGAAGGCUGAUAGUGCGACGCCGCGUGAACGAGGGAGCCCUUCGGGGUGUAAAGCUCUUUUGUCCGGAAAGAAAAGCGCCGGGUUAAUACCCUGGUGUCCUGACGGUACCGGAAGAAUAAGCACCGGCUAACUUCGUG
rnacentral:rRNA from 1 species